rnacentral:rRNA from 1 species
UGAUAACACAUGAAAGUGGAGUGAUGAGUGCUGGAUAAAUUGCUAGCGGCGGACGGGUGCGUAACACGUGGGUAACCUGCCCCUAUCACUGGGAUAACACACUGAAAAGUGUGCUAAUACCAGAUAACAUAAGCUUUUGGCAUCAUUAGCUUAUCAAAGAAUUUCGGAUAGGGAUGGGCCCGCGUCUGAUUAGCUAGUUGGUGAGGUAACGGCUCACCAAGGCAACGAUCAGUAGCCGACCUGAGAGGGUGAUCGGCCACACUGGAACUGAGACACGGUCCAGACUCCUACGGGAGGCAGCAGUGGGGAAUAUUGCACAAUGGGCGAAAGCCUGAUGCAGCAACGCCGCGUGAGCGAUGAAGGCCUUCGGGUCGUAAAGCUCUGUCCUAUGGGAAGAUAAUGACGGUACCAUAGGAGGAAGCCCCGGCUAACUACGUGCCAGCAGCCGCGGUAAUACGUAGGGGGCAAGCGUUAUCCGGAAUUACUGGGCGUAAAGGGUGCGUAGGCGGUUUAUCAAGUCAGGGGUGAAAGGCUACGGCUCAACCGUAGUGAGCCUCUGAAACUGGUGAACUUGAGUGUAGGAGAGGAAAGUGGAAUUCCCAGUGUAGCGGUGAAAUGCGUAGAUAUUGGGAGGAACACCAGUGGCGAAGGCGACUUUCUGGACUACAACUGACGCUGAGGCACGAAAGCGUGGGGAGCAAACAGGAUUAGAUACCCUGGUAGUCCACGCUGUAAACGAUGAGUACUAGGUGUCGGCUGUCAAAGGUCGGUGCCGGCGUUAACACAUUAAGUACUCCGCC